AGAGUUUGAUCCUGGCUCAGGACGAACGCUGGCGGUGCGCCUAACACAUGCAAGUCGAACGGAGAUUACAGGCGGAAGUUUUCGGAUGGAAGCUUGUAAACUUAGUGGCGGACGGGUGAGUAACACGUGAGCAACCUGCCUAUCAGAGGGGGAUAACGAUUGGAAACGAUCGCUAAUACCGCAUGACAUAGCGGAAUCGCAUGGUUCUGUUAUCAAAGAUUUUAUCGCUGAUAGGUGGGCUCGCGUCCG
rnacentral:rRNA from 1 species